UGACCGUGUAGCUCAGUUGGUAGAGCGUCGAUCUAGUACUAUAAUUCGAAGGUCGCGGGUUCAAGACCCAUGAAUGAUCAG
rnacentral:tRNA from 1 species